GUGGAAUCUAUUCUGAAAUAGAGGAACUGAAUCACUCGGAACUGGGAUCGAACCAACUCCUCUCUGUUCACUAUGAAUCCCAACAAUUCCCGAAACUGUAAACAUAAAUCUCGUUUGUAAACGUAGUCAUGAAUUGGAUUUGCAAAAGGUAAGUCGUCUAGGUAUGUGACAGCAGAUACCCUUUGCUUUUCAGUGCACAGUGACCGACUUCAGAAACUUCAUGAGGCACCAUGUGAACCUAUAGGUAAGUGCCCUUCAAGUCCAACCUUGUAGAUCCCCUAAGAGAUGGAUACCUUCCUUCUUGAGUUGUCGGUACGCCCCAAAACCAUUGGGUUGGCAUAGGUUGAUGACUGGGUGAUAGUCUCCUAUCUUCUUCCUUACUACCAAACCGUUGCUGAGAUAAAUGGUUCUCCAAACGAUAGUCCGUCUGCCUGAGGUCCUCGCUCUUUCGUCCCUAACUUCAAUAGUUUGAAAUCCAUCUUUAAUCGGGCUGCUUUGCGGCGUUCUGUGCACCUGUCUGCCUUGCGUUCCCCAACUUACAUAUUGCCC